rnacentral:lncRNA from 10 species
GGGCCGGGACAAAGCCUGGGCCGGGCCUGCGCUUCCGUUCGCUUGACUGGCUGCGCUUGUUUUCAGGGUUUUGGUCUGAAAACGGAUCUUACCUGCGCAGAGCAAAAUCGGUUGUAGAUUAUAUCCACGAAAAUUCCUUCUAUUAAAAUGAAUUUCAAGUCCCACCUACCCUGGAAGCAGAAAGAGAGAGAAGAGAGAGAGUAAAGAGAAAGAGAAAAGAAAGAGAAGUUGAAAAAGAGAAAGAAAACCAAGAAAGAAAGAGAAAAAAACCGAAAAUAAAUGGACAAGAAAGAAAAACGGUGAAGGUCAACCCUGUGCUCAAUUCCAGAGACUUUCCUAGGGACAUCGUGUUGGGCAUGGAGGACUAAGAGAUGUAGUCUGGUUUUGUUGCCCAGGCUGGUCUCCAGCUUCUAGCCUCAAGCAGUCUUCCCAUCUGCUCCUACCAAAGUGCUCGGAUUAUAGGCAUGAAUCACCUUGCAUGGGAGAUAAGGACCCCCACAUCAAGCCCUCAGGUCACUGGGAUCCUGGACUACGGCACUGCUCCAGGCAGGCCUGGUUAUCCUGCUUGAGGCAGCAAUCCUCUUGAGCCUAGUGAAAUGCAACUGGCUGUACCUCAAUGAUGUUGCCCUGAGAUUCUGCCAGUCGAGGCCAACGUGCCAUGCAUCCCUGGAGCAUGAAACCCAGGAUGGGCCGCCUUCCAGCCUCCCACAGCUGUGAUGCAAGUUGAACACAUACAGAGAGACUGCAUCUGCACUGGGUGGUUUUCCUGAGCCUUGGGGAGCAGAAUGCAUGAAUCCCAGAUGGAGGAAGUGGACCAUGAGUCAAAGGAUGUAAGUGGCCUCUGGAACCUACAAAGGGCUCAUAAACAGAAGAGACUUGCUUGUCUCAGAUGAAACUUUGGACUGUGGACUUUUGAGUUAAUGCUGAAAUAAGACUUUGGGGGACUGUUGGGGAGGCAUGAUUGGUUUUGAAAUGUGAGGACAUGAGAUUUGGGAGGGACCAGGGGCAAAAUGAUAUGGUUUGGCUGUGUCCCCACCAAAUCUCAUCUUGAAUUGCAGCUCCCAUGAUCCCCACAUGUGGGAGGGACCCGGGGGGAGGUAACUGAAUCAUGGGGGUGGGAUUUUCCCAUGCUGUUCUCAUGAUAGUGAAUAAAUCUCAUGAGAUCUUAUGGUUUUAUAAAGGGCAGUUUCCCUGCACGGGCUCUCUCUUGCCCGCCACCACGUAAGACAUGUGUUUGCUCCUCCUUCACCUUCUGCCAUGAUUGUGAGGUCUCUCUAGCCGUGUGAAACUGUGAGUCCAUUAAACUUCUUUUUCUUUAUAA